rnacentral:rRNA from 1 species
UACAGAGGUCCCAAGCGUUGUUCGGAUUCACUGGGCGUAAAGGGUGCGUAGGCGGUCGGGUAAGUCUGAUGUGAAAUCUCACAGCUUAACUGUGAAACUGCAUUGGAUACUAUCCGGCUCGAGGAAUGGAGGGGAGACUGGAAUACUUGGUGUAGCGGUGAAAUGCGUAGAUAUCAGGAGGAAUACCGGUGGUGCAGACGGCUCUCUGGACCGCAACUGACGCUGAGACACGAAAGCGUGGGUAGCAAACAGG